rnacentral:rRNA from 1 species
UCCUACGGGAGGCAGCAGUGGGGAAUCUUAGACAAUGGGCGCAAGCCUGAUCCAGCCAUGCCGCGUGUGUGAUGAAGGCCUUAGGGUCGUAAAGCWCUUUCGCCAGRGAUGAUAAUGACAGUACCUGGUAAAGAAACCCCGGCUAACUCCGUGCCAGCAGCCGCGGUAAUACGGAGGGGGUUAGCGUUGUUCGGAAUUACUGGGCGUAAAGCGCACGUAGGCGGAUUAGWCAGUCAGRGGUGAAAUCCCAGGGCUCAACCCUGGAACUGCCUYUGAWACUSCURGUCUUGAGUUCGAGAGAGGUGAGUGGAAUUCCGAGUGUAGAGGUGAAAUUCGUAGAUAUUCGGAGGAACACCAGUGGCGAAGGCGGCUCACUGGCUCGAUACUGACGCUGAGGUGCGAAAGUGUGGGGAGCAAACAGGAUUAGAUACCCUGGUAGUCCACACCGUAAACGAUGAAUGCCAGUCGUCGGGYAGUAUACURUUCGGUGACACACCUAACGGAUYAAGCAUUCCGCCUGGGGAGUACGGUCGCAAGAUUAAAACUCAAAGGAAUUGACGGA